rnacentral:rRNA from 1 species
CCUAGGGGAGGCAGCAGUGAGGAAUAUUGGUCAAUGGGCUUACGCCUGAACCAGCCAAGUCGCGUGAGGGAAGACUGCCCUAUGGGUUGUAAACCUCUUUUGUCAGGGAGCAAUUGGCGCUACGUGUAGCGUUAUCGAGAGUACCUGAAGAAAAAGCAUCGGCUAACUCCGUGCCAGCAGCCGCGGUAAUACGGAGGAUGCGAGCGUUAUCCGGAUUUAUUGGGUUUAAAGGGUGCGUAGGCGGAAUGCCAAGUCAGCGGUAAAAUCGCGGGGCUCAACCUCGCUCCGCCGUUGAAACUGGCGUUCUUGAGUGGGCGAGAGGUAUGCGGAAUGCGCAGUGUAGCGGUGAAAUGCUUAGAUAUUGCGCAGAACUCCGAUUGCGAAGGCAGCAUACCGGCGGCGAUCUGACGCUGAGGCACGAAAGCGUGGGUAUCGAACAGGAUUAGAUACCCGAGUAGUC